rnacentral:SRP_RNA from 2 species
UUGGUUCUCCCGCAACACUAACUUGUGAACUCGGUCAGAUCCGGAAGGAAGCAGCCGCAGCAGGUGACGUGUGUGCCGGGAUGUAGCUGG